AACGUAGGGGACAAGCGUUAUCCGGAUUUACUGGGCGUAAAGCGCAUGUAGGUGGCUUGAAAAGUUGGACGUGAAAGCUCCCGGCUUAACUGGGAGAGGUCGUUCAAAACUGGCAAGCUUGAGGUUGGAAGAGGAGAGCGGAAUUCCCGGUGUAGUGGUGGAAUGCAUAGAUAUCGGGAGGAACACCAGUGGCGAAAGCGGCUCUCUGGUUCAAUACUGACACUGAGAUGCGAAAGCGUGGGGAGCGAACGGG
rnacentral:rRNA from 1 species